rnacentral:rRNA from 1 species
GCACGGAGUUAGCCGGGGCUUCCUCUAGCGGUACCGUCAUUUCUGCGACGUAUUAGGUCGCAGAUCAUUCGUCCCGCUCGACAGGAGUUUACGACCCGAAGAUCAUCAUCCUCCACGCGGCGUUGCGUCGUCAGGCUUGCGCCCAUUGCGAACAAUUCCCCACUGCUGCCUCCCGUAGGAGUCUGGGCCGUGUCUCAGUCCCAGUGUGGCCGUCCGCCCUCUUAGGCCGGCUACCGAUCGUCGCCUUGGUGAGCCAUUACCCCACCAACUAGCUAAUCGGACGCGGGCCCCUCAUCAAGCGCCAGACCUUGCGGUUCCGGCUUUGAUCACCACCUGUUCAAAGGCAGGAUGUCAUGCGGUAUUAGCGUCCCUUUCGGGGCGUUAUCCCCCACUCGAAGGUAGGUCACCCACGCGUUACUCACCCGUUUGCCACUCUACUUACCCCUUGCGGGGCUUUCGCGUUCGACUUGCAUGUGUUAGGCACGCCGCCAGCGUUGAUU